CGCUCCCCUCAGCCCCAUUCCAGGCCCACAGCCCCUCAAGCUUCCACCCAGCCCCAGCCACUAACUCUCAAAUGACAAAUGUGUUUCCUGUUUCAUCAGGACAGGACAUCGAUGUCAUCUGUAACUUCCGGUGCACUGGGGCACACAGCUGCAUCUCCCCAUGCUCACCUCCUGCCUCUUGCUCUGCCCAGUCUCGCCAACCCCCGUGGACUGCUGGCUCUCAAGGCGGCCGCUAGCCCAGCUCCGACAGCAGCUGACAAUGCACAGUAUGCGGCCCAGGGCAGGCCCUGUGCUGAGAGGCAUGGGUGAAUGGCUCAUUUCAUCGGCAAGCCCACGCCACCAGCAGGCGCCGUUCUCCUCGCAUUUCUCAGGCGAGGAACCUGAGACAAUGAGGUUAAGGAAGUUGUUCAUUACAAGUGGAAGAACCCUGACUUACUUGAAUUCAGCUUUGAAGCCCACAUUCUCUUUUUCUGUGUGUGUGACAGGGUCUCACUUUGUCACCCAGGCCGCAGUGCAGUGGUGUGAACACAGCUCAUUGCAGUCUCAACCUCCCUGACUCAAGCAAUCCUCCUGCCUUAGCCUCCUGAGUAGCUGGGACUACAAGCAUGUGCCACCACGCCCAGCCGAAGCCCAUAUGUGAAUGUUGAGGCACACAGCCUCCCCAGCCUCUGCCUUACCAAGCCCUCCACAGGGCCUAGGCACCCUCC
rnacentral:lncRNA from 1 species